AGCAGCCGCGGUAAUUCCAGCUCCAAUAGCGUAUAUUAAAGUUGUUGCAGUUAAAAAGCUCGUAGUUGAAUUUCGGGGUCAGCAGGUUGGUCGUGCUACUGGUAUGCACUGGUCUCGCUGAUUCCUCCCUCUUGUAGAACCGUAAUGCCAUUAAGUUGGUGUUGCGGGGAAACAGGACUGUUACUUUGAAAAAAUUAGAGUGUUUAAAGCAGGCUAACGCUUGAAUACAUUAGCAUGGAAUAAUGAAAUAGGACGAUCGAUCCUAUUUUGUUGGUUUCUAGGGUUGACGUAAUGAUUAAUAGGGAUAGUUGGGGGCAUUAGUAUUCAAUUGUCAGAGGUGAAAUUCUUGGAUUUAUUGAAGACUAACUACUGCGAAAGCAUUUGCCAAGGAUGUUUUCAUUAAUCAAGAACGAAAGUUAGGGGAUCGAAGACGAUCAGAUACCGUCGUAGUCUUAACCAUAAACUAUGCCGACUAGGGAUCGGAUGAUGUUAAUUUUUUAAUGACUCAUUCGGCGCCGUA
rnacentral:rRNA from 1 species